GGUGCAUUAAGAGUUUCAAAUUGGUUGUUCAUGGUGGUUGGUGUAUUGAUGGCAAUGGUAAAAUUGUGAAUACUUGAGGAAGAUGAGGGUGAUAGAGUAGAAUAUGCACUUUCGAAACGAAAAAAAAAGUGAUGGCAUUUUUGUGAAUAAUCUGAACUUUGAGGGUGAAAGAGGCAAGUGAAAGUUCCAAAAAAAACAUGGAUUAGUUUUGUGUUUGACUUCAAGGCAAAAGCCCAAAAAUUAUUUAUGAUUAGUGUCUUUUAAGGUAUGCAAAUUAUCUUGAGAUAAUUAUAAAAUUUUAGCGACUAGUGGAGAGGCAAAAUUAGAGGCUAGUUAUGUUAUUGAUAACACAAACCUAUC
rnacentral:lncRNA from 1 species